rnacentral:rRNA from 1 species
UACGUAGGGUGCGAGCGUUGUCCGGAAUUAUUGGGCGUAAAGCGCUCGCAGGCGGCUUGAUACGUCGUGCGUGAAACACCCCGGCUCAACUGGGGAGGGUCGUGCGAUACGGUCAGGCUUGAGGCCAGUAGGGGGAUGCGGAAUUCCGGGUGUAGUGGUGGAAUGCGUAGAGAUCCGGAGGAACACCAGCGGCGAAGGCGGCAUCCUGGACUGGUUCUGGACGCUCA